GCUGGCAUAAUGAUGACUUUUUGCCGUUUACCCAACUGAGUUUUCUGAUGAGUAACUUGUAUCUAUCUGAGGUGCCAGC
rnacentral:snoRNA from 1 species